GCUCAUGGCUUGAUUGAAGCUGCUCAAGAUUUAGAAAAUAAGUUGAUCAAUAGAAGCAGAAAUUCAGAUAUGGUAAAGGAGCUGAGAGGGAAUGAGGUAAUGUGAUAGGUAAAUAAGAAUGUUAUUGUUGAAGGUUGGUUGGUGGAGAAGGUAGAGACGGGUGUGAACAUGUGAUGGGAUUUUCGGUGUUGGAGGUAUGAUCGGAUAAACUGAUUUUGGUGUUAGUAUUAGAUUGGAAUGCCCAAUG